UAUUAAUACCAAAUGCAAAUAAUAGGGGAAGUAGUAGAAGGAAGGAUUAAAGAGUGAGUGGGAACUCUGCACUUUCUGCUCAAUUUUUCCAUAAACCUAAAAUUACUCUAAAAAAAUCAAAAUCUGUCCCUCCUUUUCAUCAUCAACACAUUCACAAAACAGGACUUGCUGAGGAAGUAAGGAUAAGCAUAACAACAGAACUUAGAUUGACAGAAAAAGUGAUCAAACUAGAACAAGGGAAACAUGAAAAGAGAGGGAGAUGAGGCAUCAAUGAGAGGACAGUGAGGACAGGACAUUUAUGGAGUUCCCAUUGCAGCUCAGCAGUUAAACCUAACUAGUAUCCAUGAGGACGUGGAUUCGAUCCCUGGCCUCACUCUGUGGGUUAAGGAUCCAGCGUUUCAGUAAGCUGUGAUAUAGGUCACAGAUACAGCUUGGAUCCCAUGUUGCUGUGGCUUUGGUGUAGGCUAGCAGCUGUAGCUUCGAUUCCACCCCUAGACUGGGAACCUCCAUAUGCUGUGGGCGCAUCCCUAAAAGGACAAAAGACAAAAAAAAAAAAAAAAAAGACAUAUUUGUGCUUAGGCAGAAAAGAAGAUUUAGAGCAAGAUGUUCAUGGCUGCCAUCUCAUCCUAGCUGUUUACAGCCUGCUCAUUUGUAAGUGGAAAACACAGGGUGGUACAAGAUUUCCAAGAUCACUACAUUUCUCAUGAUCGCUUCAACUCUAAUCACUUAAGCUCUACCCCUACAGCCGAAACCACAUGCCAAAACAAUUUUACCAAAGCAGUAUUUAAAUAAUAUCAUUUAAUUAUUUGUUGUUGUAAGCAUUUUCACUUGUUUAUGUAUUGUAAAAAUGCCUAUUUUAAAAAUAAGGAACUAUCGCUCACAGAGGCAAAUAAUGCCUUAAGUUAUGCCAUGAGUUCAGAGCUUGAAUUUGAACCCUAGCGACUUAACCCCAGAAACCACAACCUUAUCCAACACACAAGUCUGCCUCCUGGACUCCCAAUAUCCACAUGUUACCAACAGUCAUAAUGGAGCUUCUGGAAAAGAUUCCUGCUUAGCAAUUUAAUUCCUACUUUAUAUAGAGACCCCCUAAUAGCCCCAAGAUUAACCUCAACAACCUCUCUCUAGAUCCCCUUGUAUAAAACUAAUCAUGUUGGUCCUGUCCUUAAAAGACCAUUUGCCUAGAUCCACAGCAAGGAAGCCUGUGUUACCUCUUGUAUUUGAAUUAUGACCUUGAAGUAAUCAGAGCCUCUGAGUCAGCAACAUGUGCUUAAAACAAGUUUAAUUUAGAAUCUACAAACAAUCCUCCUUAGAAAACAUUUCAAUAGAUGGUCCCAACACUCCCUCCCACCCUACUAGACCUAUAUCAGAUGUUUCAGCAUUUCUUACAGCCAUCACCAUGCUGGUUAUUGUACAUGAAUGUGGAUACCUUAUGAUAUAUUAUAAGAUACAACAGCCAUGGAUCAAGGACCAUCACUUCUACAAUCUAUAAUUUUCUAUGCAAUAAAAUUGCAUAACAAAAAUUAUCUAAGCAACAUGGAGGAGCUCCUACUGAGGCCCUAAAUGACAGAGAAACUUUAUGGAAAACAAGAAAGGAGUGUUUACUUCUUAGAAUUAACUAGUCUAAGAAUAAAGUAAACUUUCUUCACUCUUGACUCAGACACAUAUACAACAUGUUGGUUCCAUGAGUUAUUCAAAGCCCUAGGCUCUGAAUGACUUGUGUGGUCUGAUCUUUGUUUUCAGUUCUGUGGUUUUCUGUUUGGUUAGUUUUAAACCUUUAUCAAUAGAUUUUUAUAGUUUUUUUUUAAAUAAUUCCUUUCAUUUUUUAAGAGAUCAGAGUGCAUGGAAGAUACAGGAUUUUUCCCUGAUGUAGGUCAGCAAAAAUAUUGCUUAAAAAGAUCUUAAGACUUUUAUAGAAUAUAUGUGUGUGUGUUUGAUGAAAAAAGUUUUUCAGCAAAAGGGCUUAAAUCAAAAAUAUCAUGAAUUCUCAAAAGCAUAUAAAGUUAUGGUUAUACUGCUACAGUCUCAGUGUGUCAAAAGAACCUGAGCGAAAAAAAAAAAAAAGUUAUCUAAAAGUUCUUACAAAAGGAGCUCAAUUAAUGGUACCUACUUUUAAAUCAGGAAUCUAAGACCUGGAGUUUGGGUUAUUUUCAAUGGUUCCAACCAAAAAGACAGUUUCAUAACAUUGGAGACUCAUAGGAAUAAGCAGUAUUACUCCCUAGGUACACUGAUAAUAUUCAGUGAUGAUAUUAAUCUAACCAUUUUGAAUGUGCACUGAUCCACUUCAAUGUGCUAGCAUCCCAUGGGUUCCUGACCAGCAGAGUCUGCAGAAUAUUAGUUCAAAGACAAUAUAGGAACAAAAUUAUGUCCAGUAAACUGGUGCCUACAUACAAUCAGAAAUAUAGUCCUGAUUUAAUGGAAUAACCAGAAUAAACAGCAUCUGCAAUUUUAGCAAAUCACUUUACCUAGUGUAAAAUUUCUUUCCUGAAUAAAUUCUAAACAGGAACAAACAACUUCAGUGUUCAGAGAGUCAAAUUCCAAUGCAGGGCAGGGGCGGGGGUUUCCCCCACAGGAACAAUCAUUUCUCAAAAACCAGCAGGGUGUCAAUUCUGACAUUAUCUACCCAGAGAGAGCACUGUAUUUCACAGGUUUAAGGCUCAGACUUAGGACACCCCCACUCACCAUCACCACUUUAGACCCAAGAUGCUAGUCUAGGCUGUUAACCUGUGCUUCAAACUGAUGGGCCAUAGUAUGGAGGUUGCAGGGACCCCUUCCUAUUGAAACAGAGAAGGGUCUUAUGGGGCUCCUGAGCAGAAGCCUCAUUUCUUGAUUUUAGGGAAUAAAGUUCAGCCUCCAUUCCCUUCACUGAGUUCAAAAGGCCAGAUUCAAACAGUUGUUAAUCAGGGAAAGGAGGGGAUGCAAGACAAGGGAGGAGUAGUCAACAGACAAUAGAGAAGCCUUUGGGCAGGGUCCUGGUUCCUCUUCAAGGAAUACACAUAAGACUACCUUUGAGUUCUUCUGUAGACAUAAAUCCCCCAACAAAUGAAAACCAGAGAGGAAGACCACCAGAACCGGUCCUAGGGCUGCUAAAUACCAAAUCUAAGAACAAUAAAAGCUUGUAUGUAUCCUGAUCCUUAUCUGUGGCCCUACUUUCUACUCCUAAACUAUAAUACCACUUCCUAAUCUCUCCCAAAGAAGAGCAUAGUCUUUAGGGCAUUAGCCUGUUGUGGCCUCCUUUGCCUGGCAAAGCAAUAAAGCUACAUUUUUCUCCUUUGCCCAAAACCCUGUCUCUGAGUUUCUAUUCAGCACCAGUGUGUUGGGCUUCAAGGCUCCUUCAAGGAGACAGAACUCAAAGCCUUUGGCCAAGAAUUAUCAGACCCUUAUCACCAGUCUCACUGUAAUGCCCCUUCUCCCACAUUGACCAACCUGGCCUACUCCUUCCUAUCUAGUACUAGGAUGGGUAUGUGACCCGCCCCUCAUCCUGCCCCUUUAGGGUUCUUAUAAGAUCCCAACCAUCCAGAAAGUGUUUUUUUUUUUUCCAGGACUGCACCUGUGGCAUAUGGAAGUUCCCAGGCUAGUGGUCAAAUCUGAGCUGCAACCGCCAGUCUAUGCCACAGCCACAGCUAAGGGAUCUAAGCCAUGUCUCUGACCUACACCACAGCUCAUGGCAACACCAGAUCCUUAACCCACUGAGUGAAGCCAGGGGUUGGACCUGAAUCCUCAUGGAUUUGUUACCAUUACCACUGAGCCACAAAGGGAACUCCAGCAUCUCUCAUCUUAAACUCUUCUUCCUCUUUGGGGUCAGCUCUCCCUGAAUAUCAGGAAGUUAUCCUGCUGUGCUUGCAGCACCUCUUAUCUCAAUAAACUGUACUUUCUCUCCACUUUGCCAUGCUCAAUAAACUUCUUUCUUUUCACCCAGAUAUGAGUCUGGAAAUUCUUUUCUGACCCAUGUGCACAGACCACGACACAGUGGACAGAGGCCAAGUUUUGGCAACACUACUAGGAUGCCAAUUACAAAUCUAUGUUGUUAUCUGUACUUCUGAACUAGUGGCUAUCAAUUAGAGAUUCUCAAAACCUUCUCUUUGAGUUUCAUUAAUUUACUAUAGCAGCUCACAGAACUCAGAACAACAUUUUACUAGCUAGAUUACCAGUUUAUAACAAAGGGUAGAACUCAGGAAGAGCUGGGUGGCAUAAAUGAACGUAUCUAUGAAAUAGAAACAGACU
rnacentral:lncRNA from 1 species